AUUGAACGCUGGCGGCAGGCCUAACACAUGCAAGUCGAACGAGUGGCGGACGGGUGAGGAAUGUCUGGGAAACUGCCCGAUGGAGGGGGAUAAGUAGGGUAAACGGUAGCUAAUACCGCAUACCAUCGGAUGUGCCCAGAUGGGAUUAGCUAGUAGGUGGGGUAACGGCUCACCGAGGCCACCAGCCAUAGCUGGUCUGAGAGGCUGACCAGCCACACGGGAACUGAGACACGGUCCAGACUCCUCCGGGAGGCAGCAGUGGGGAAUAUUGCACAAUGGGCGCAAGCCUGAUGCAGCCAUGCCGCGUGUAUGAAGAAGGCCUUCGGGUUGUAAAGUACUUUCAGCGAGGAGGCGUUACUCGCAGAAGAAGCAUCGGCUAACUCCGUGCCAGCAGCCGCGGUAAUUC
rnacentral:rRNA from 1 species